rnacentral:lncRNA from 1 species
UUCUGAAAGAAAGACUGAGACUUGCUGGAGGAAGUACUAGUAGUGCCAAGGGCAGGAACUCAACUGUUAGGCAGAAGGGAGGAAUGUACUGUUGAUAUGGACAGACUCCAAGAAGGGGAGGGACUGCUGGGACUACUAGAACGAGAAUGCCUCUGCCCCUAUGGCUCAGCUCUGCAACUCUCUCUGCACAUUGGCUUCAUGCUGUUAGACCAGCUUCCUCCAUAUGUCUGGAAACAAGGCCACUGACAGCUCCCAACAUUUCAUCUUCUG